rnacentral:lncRNA from 1 species
GAACAGAUGUGCACAAAAUGCACUCUGCUUUUCCGCUACCAACCUCAGAUGCUAGAUAUGCUGUGGCAAUGUCUCAGACAGCCACAGAGAAAGAGUGUGAGGUAACUGCGUGCUAAUGAACUAGAAGAAAAGUACAGGAACUGACAGUUUGAGGUGGGUGAACCAUAUUCACGAACGCUCACGCUGUCACACGCUAAACUACAAUGCAUCAAGCAACAGACUAUGCUCUCCUGGGAGCAUCAGGAGGGACAUCGCCACCUGCACUGCCCAUCAAACAGCACAGGAGCAGGUCUUCUUCAAGCUCCAUCCAGGAUCUAGAGCUGAAGGUGGGCGAUCUACACUUGCCUGGACCACAGACCCCCGUGUCUCCAUUUACUGAAGUGUUUACUCCUACUUACUGUAAUGCAGUCCACUGUCCAAUACAUCAUCGCUAUGAAAAUCACCAGAUGAGAUUCUUCUCAGAUGAAACUCCACCUCCAGUACCUAAAAAGAGUCUGACGAGAACCCUAUCCCUCCCAGAGGAGACUCUGAACCCACCUUACCACGAUCAUACAAGAACCUGCAACUAUGAAAAUCCCCUAUAUAUGAUAACACCAUUCCACGACACACUUACACUACAAGAGGAAGUGGUACAAGAAGAGAAAUAUCAGGGUCUGUCCUUGCACAAGGUGACCUUUGAUACACCAGAUGAGCAACUUCAAAGUGUCUUUAGAAGCUUCCAGAGCCAUGAGCAAGUUUCCAU